CCUACGGGAGGCAGCAGUGAGGAAUAUUGGUCAAUGGGCGAGAGCCUGAACCAGCCAAGUCGCGUGAGGGAGUACUGCCCUAUGGGUUGUAAACCUCUUUUGUCGGGGAGCAAAAGCCGGACGUGUCCGGCUGUGAGAGUACCCGAAGAAAAAGCAUCGGCUAACUCCGUGCCAGCAGCCGCGGUAAUACGGAGGAUGCGAGCGUUAUCCGGAUUUAUUGGGUUAAAGGGGUGCGCAGGCGGAUUUUUAAGUCAGCGGUAAAAUCGUGGGGCUCAACCCCAUCCAGCCGUUGAAACUGGGGAUCUAGAGUGUGCGAGAGGUAUGCGGAAUGCGUGGUGUAGCGGUGAAAUGCAUAGAUAUCACGCAGAACCCCGAUGGCGAAGGCAGCAUACCGGUGCACAACUGACGCUCAGGCACGAAAGCGUGGGUAUCGAACAGGAUUAGAUACCCUUGUAGUC
rnacentral:rRNA from 1 species